rnacentral:rRNA from 1 species
UACGUAGGAGGCAAGCGUUGUCCGGAAUUAUUGGGCGUAAAGAGCUCGUAGGUGGCCUGUCGCGUCGGCUGUGAAAACUCGGGGCUCAACUCCGAGCUUGCAGUCGAUACGGGCAGGCUAGAGUUCGGCAGGGGAGACUGGAAUUCCUGGUGUAGCGGUGAAAUGCGCAGAUAUCAGGAGGAACACCGGUGGCGAAGGCGGGUCUCUGGGCCGAUACUGACACUGAGGAGCGAAAGCGUGGGGAGCGAACAGG